rnacentral:lncRNA from 1 species
CCGAAUUCCUUUAGGUUUCUGAUGGGGUUUCUCUCUCUUUGCCAUAUAGCCGAGGUCCAGCCAUCCCUCUCCUUGUUCAGGCAUUUCUACACCUUCAAACGCCAUCCUUCCGUGAAGGACUGGUGGUACUUCUCUCUCCAGUUUGGUAAGAAGGGGUUGCUGAAGGGCGCCCCUUCUUCGAUUCACAACUAGAAGGGGAAAUUUCUCUUUGUCUACUGCCCGACCCUAGAACUAGGUCUACCCCCUUGGGGGUCUCUGAGGGAUUCCGUCCGUCGGGCUCCCAGCCUUGGAGAGGACGACCUCCAGGCUGCCCAGAAGCUUCUGAGUUAUCCCGCUCCUUCCCUUCCUAAUCUUCUGAGGGAGCAGCUUCUUUUCAACAUCGGCCUGAGCCCUCAGGAUCCUGCAAGUAU